rnacentral:miRNA from 1 species
UCAGGUGUGGAAACUGAGGCAG